rnacentral:rRNA from 1 species
GACGGAGGAUGCAAGCGUUAUCCGGAAUUAUUGGGCGUAAAGCGUCCGUAGGUGGCAGACCAAGUCUGUUUUUAAAUAGUGCAGCUCAACUGCAUAAGGGGAAUGGAAACUGGUCAGCUAGAGUUCGGUAGAGGAAAAUGGAGUUCCGGGUGUAGUGGUGAAAUGCGUAGAUAUCCGGAGGAACACCAGUGGCGAAGGCGGCCAUCUGGCUCAAAACUGACGCUGAGGCUCGAAAGCGUGGGGAGCAAACAGG